GCUGGGAGUAGGUGUCUUGACAUAGUUUUCUCUCAAUAUCUUCAUAGGUAAAAGGAAGAGUCUGCUAGCUUUAAAUACUGUGACUUUCUGAAGAAGAAGAAACUACAUUAUCAGAGAAGUACACAUCAAAAAUAACAAGGUUUCUGAACAGUGGGAUAAUUAGAACUAUACUUUAAAAUGAAAUAUCUGAUAAU
rnacentral:lncRNA from 1 species